rnacentral:misc_RNA from 1 species
GAUGAAAGAACGUAGCGAAAUGCGAUAAGUAGUGUGAAUUGCAGAAUUCAGUGAAUCAUCGAAUCUUUGAACGCACAUUGCGCCCCUUGGUAUCCCGAGGGGCAUGCCUGUUCGAGCGUCAUUUCACCACUCAAGCCUGGCUUGGUGUUGGGCGACGUCCCCUUUAGGGACGCGCCUCGAAACGCUCGGCGGCGUGGCACCGGCUUUAAGCGUAGCAGAAUCUUUCGCUUUGGAAGUCGGGGCCCCGCCUGCCGGAAUACCUACUCGUAAGGUUGACCUCGGAUCAGGCAGGGAUACCCGCUGAACUUAAGCAUAUCAAUAAGCGGAGGA